rnacentral:rRNA from 1 species
CCUACGGGAGGCAGCAGUGGGGAAUAUUGGGCAAUGGAGGAAACUCUGACCCAGCAACGCCGCGUGAAUGAUGAAGGUCUUCGGAUUGUCAAGUUCUUUUCUAAGGGAAGAAGAAAGUGACGGUACCUUAGGAAUAAGCCUCGGCUAACUAAGUGCCAGCAGACGCGGUAAUACGUAGGAGGCGAGCGUUCUCCGGAAUGACUGGGCGUAAAGGGUGCGUAGGUGGUGUGGCAAGCUAGUAGCGUAACUCCAAGGCUCCACCUUGGAACUACUACUAAAACUGGUGGACUUGAGUGCAGGAGAGGCGACCGGAAGUCGGGGUGUAGCGGUGAGAUGCGUAGAUAUUAGGAGGAACACCAGUGGCGAAGGCGGGUUGCUGGACUGUAACUGACACUGAGGCACGAAAGCGUGGGGAGCAAACAGGAUUAGAUACCCCAGUAGUC